rnacentral:rRNA from 1 species
AACAGGAUUAGAUACCCUGGUAGUCCAUGCCGUAAACGAUGUCUACUAGCCGUUGGGGCCUUUGAGGCUUUAGUGGCGCAGCUAACGCGAUAAGUAGACCGCCUGGGGAGUACGGUCGCAAGACUAAAACUCAAAUGAAUUGACGGGGGCCCGCACAAGCGGUGGAGCAUGUGGUUUAAUUCGAUGCAACGCGAAGAACCUUACCUGGUCUUGACAUAGUAAGAACUUUCCAGAGAUGGAUUGGUGCCUUCGGGAACUCACAUACAGGUGCUGCAUGGCCGUCGUCAGCUCGUGUCGUGAGAUGUUGGGUUAAGUCCCGCAACGAGCGCAACCCUUUUCCUUAUUUGCCAGCGGGUUAAGCCGGGAACUUUAAGGAUACUGCCAGUGACAAACUGGAGGAAGGCGGGGACGACGUCAAGUCAUCAUGGCCCUUACGACCAGGGCUACACACGUGCUACAAUGGUCGGUACAAAGGGUUGCUACCUCGCGAGAGGAUGCUAAUCUCAAAAAGCCGAUCGUAGUCCGGAUCGCAGUCUGCAACUCGACUGCGUGAAGUCGGAAUCGCUAGUAAUCGCGGAUCAGAAUGCCGCGGUGAAUACGUUCCCGGGCCUUGUACACACCGCCCGUCACACCAUGGGAGUUUGUUGCACCAGAAGUAGGUAGUCUAACCGCAAGGAGGACGCUUACCACGGUGUGGCCGAUGACUAGGGUGAAGUCGUAACAAGGUAACC